rnacentral:lncRNA from 1 species
UAUAUAUAGAGAGAGAGAGAGAGAGAGAGGAGGCUGGUAUACUAUCGAUAGCAUUAAGGUAUCCGUGCUAUUAAGUUGUUUUUAAUAAUGUGGCUUCCAAAUGGACGAUCGACUCCAUUAGACUCGAUCUAUAUUAUUAAAAAUAUUUGAAAACUAAAUUUCAUAAUUUUUUGACAUCAUUUACUUAUUAAACGAGUAGUCUAAAAAUGAAUUGCUGAAAAUAAAAAUCUCAUAAAAAAUUAUGAUAAAAGACUUGAAUUUAAGAUCAGAAGUAUUGAUCUUACUCUAAAUAGUGAAAAAAAAUUUCUGUAAAAAUUUUAUCAGAUUUGGAUUAUUUUACACGAUUAAAUUCACAAACGCAUCACAUCUGCCAUUAAAAUUGUCAAUUUUAAGACCUUUUGAUCACUAGCCAAAUGAUGCCGAAAAAUUAUGAAAUUUAGUUUACAAACACUUUUAAUAGUGUAGAUUAAGUCUAAUAAAGCCGAUCAUCGAUUUGAAAGUCGCAGCAUUGAAAACAACUUGGUAGCACGGAGGCCUCCGUGCUACCGAUAGUAUACCAGCCUAGCUCUCUCUCUCUCUCUCUCUCUCUCUCUCUCUCUCUAUCUCUAUAUAUAUAUAUAUAUAUAUAUAUAUAUAUAUAGAGCUACUAUACUAUCGGAAGCAUAGAGAAUCUGAUACUUUCGAUUUUUUGGCCCUUAAAUCAAUCACUUUGAUCAUUUCUAACCUUUGGAUUAAUACUAUUAUCAUGUGGCAAUUGGCAUUGGACAUAGGAUUUUAAAGUAUCCAAAUUCAAACAAAAUAUGUUGGGCCAUGUUUCAGGAAAACAAAAAAAAAAGAACCACAAAAGAUCCAAAGCCCAUUGGGGCUUAAACCACAUUUCAUACAAUAUACAUAAUACACACUGGGCCUUAUAAAGCCCAUUAACAUUUUAUGGGGACUAGAAAAUUCUAGAAAAUUCAAGUGUAAUAUGCGACAUUGGCCCAGAUCAGUUAGGUUGUUUGGGAUUGCAGAGAGAUUGCGGUGAGAAAAUACUACUGCGGCAAAAUACUUUAUUUAUUUUUGUAACUAAUAGCUUGUUUAUUGCUCGACAUAUCGCAAUCUUAUGAGUCAAACAAAGAAGCACAUCUUUGUACGCUUUUGCUCCAGCUCUGUUUUAUGAGAAUCAUAGUUCUGUACAUCGUUGAGAUUUCAAAGGGUGAUCAU